rnacentral:rRNA from 1 species
UUGGCGGACGGGUGAGUAACGCGUGGAUAACCUGCCGUAUACCGGGGGAUAACACUUAGAAAUAGGUGCUAAUACUGCAUAAGCGCACGGCUCCGCAUGGGGCAGUGUGAAAAACUCCGGUGGUAUACGAUGGAUCCGCGUCUGAUUAGCUAGUUGGCGGGGUAACGGCCCACCAAGGCAGCGAUCAGUAGCCGGCCUGAGAGGGUGGACGGCCACAUUGGGACUGAGACACGGCCCAAACUCCUACGGGAGGCAGCAG